CUACGGGGGGCUCCAGGCGCGAAACCUUUACAAUGCACGAAAGUGUGAUAAGGGGAUUCCAAGUGCUCAAGUUUUCUUGGGCUUUUGCCAAGAGUAAAUAUCUUGGCGAAUAAGUGGUGGGCAAGACCGGUGCCAGCAGCCGCGGUAACACCGGCGCCACGAGUGGCAAUCAGAAUUAUUGGGCCUAAAGCGUUCGUAGCCGGUUAUAUAAAUCUUUUGUGAAAUUGUCUAGCUUAACUAGGCAGACUGCAGAAGACACUGUAUAACUAGGAACCGGAAGGGGUUAGGAGUAUUCAAGGGGGAGCGGUAAAAUGUUGUAAUCCCUUGAAGACUACCUGUGGCGAAGGCGCCUAACCAGUACGGAUUCGACGGUGAGGAACGAAAGCUAGGGGAGCGAUCCGGAUUAGAUACCCUUGUAGUC
rnacentral:rRNA from 1 species